rnacentral:rRNA from 1 species
CCCUUAGAUGUUCUGGGCCGCACGCGCGCUACACUGAUGCAUUCAACGAGUUUACCUUGGCCGAGAGGCCUGGGCAAUCUUUUAAACCUGCAUCGUGAUAGGGAUAGAUUAUUGCAAUUAUUAAUCUUGAACGAGGAAUUCCUAGUAGACGCAAAUCAUCAAUUUGCGUUGAUUACGUCCCUGCCCUUUGUACACACCGCCCGUCGCACCUACCGAUUGAAUGGUCCGGUGAAGCCUCGGGAUUGUGGCCAGUUCACUUUAUUGGGAGUUGGCUGCGAGAACUUGUCUAAACCUUAUCAUUUAGAGGAAGGUGAAGUCGUAACA